UACGUAGGGUGCGAGCGUUAAUCGGAUUUACGGGGCGUAAAGCGUGCGCAGGCGGCCCGUUAAGACAGGUGUGAAAUCCCUGGGCUCAACCGAGGAAUUGCGCUUGUGACUGGCGGGCUCGAGUACGGUAGAGGGGGGUGGAAUUCCUGGUGUAGCAGUGAAAUGCGUAGAGAUCAGGAGGAACACCGAUGGCGAAGGCAGCCCCCUGGGCCUGUACUGACGCUCAUGCACGAAAGCGUGGGGAGCAAACAGG
rnacentral:rRNA from 1 species